rnacentral:snoRNA from 8 species
AAGAAUAUGUGAUGAUCUCAGCCCAACUUGAACUCUCUCACUGAUGCCUUGAUGAUGUUCAAAGAUCUGAUAUUCUU